AGGACGAACGCUGGCGGCGUGCUUAACACAUGCAAGUGGAGCGACGAACCAGGGCUUGCCCUGGGGCAGAGCCGCGAACGGGUGAGUAACACGUGGGUUACCUGCCUCGAUGACCGGGACAACCCGAGGAAACUCGGGCUAAUACCGGAUGUGCCCGCAAGGGGAAAGGAAGCUUCGGCCUCCGCAUCGAGAUGGGCCCGCGGCCCAUUAGCUUGUUGGUGAGGUAACGGCUCACCAAGGCGACGACGGGUA
rnacentral:rRNA from 1 species